AGAGAGAGACAUGCGCGCAUAUCAAUAAGCGGAGGAAAAGAAACUAACAAGGAUUCCCUUAGUAACGGCGAGUGAAGCGGGAAGAGCUCAAAUUUGAAAUCUUCAAGGUUUUACCUUGACGAAUUGUAGUUUAAAGAAGUGUUUUCUGCUGAAGUUUUGGUAAAAGUUCUUUGGAAUAGGACAUCAUAGAGGGUGAGAAUCCCGUAUUUGACCAUUAUUUUCAGCUUUGUGAUACACUUUCAAAGAGUCGGAUUGUUUGGGAAUGCAGUCCAAAAUGGGUGGUAAAUCUCAUCUAAAGCUAAAUAUUGGCGAGAGACCGAUAGCGAACAAGUACCGUGAGGGAAAGAUGAAAAGAACUUUGAAAAGAGAGUUAAACAGUACGUGAAAUUGUCAAAAGGGAAGCGUUUGACACCAGUGUUGUUUUCUCGAAAAUCAAUUAAAAAUGGCUCGAUUUUGUAUUGUUGAGACCUUAAAAGCUCACUGUACAUUUUUCGUGUCUUUUUUAAUGCACUUUUCGUUUAACAAGUCAACAUCAGUUUCUUUUGUUGUAAAAGGGUCAUUGGAAGGUGGCUUUCUUUUCGGAGAAAGUGUUUAUAGCCUUUGGCCUCUGCAAUCGGAGAGACUGAUGGUCUGCAGCGUAGACUCUUCGGGGUUAGAUACAUUUGUGCUAAGUUAUAGCUUUUUAUAGACAACUUGUUGACUAUAAUUAGUCUUGUAGCUUACUCGCUUAUGCUAUUUUACCUACGCUUAGGAUGUUGAGUCGUAGAGCACGCAG
rnacentral:rRNA from 1 species